rnacentral:rRNA from 1 species
AGAACGAACGCUGGCGGCAUGCCUAACACAUGCAAGUCGAACGAGACCUUCGGGUCUAGUGGCGCACGGGUGCGUAACGCGUGGGAAUCUGCCCUUUGGUACGGAAUAACUCAGAGAAAUUUGUGCUAAUACCGUAUAAUGACUUCGGUCCAAAGAUUUAUCGCCAAAGGAUGAGCCCGCGUAAGAUUAGCUAGUUGGUGAGGUAAGAGCUCACCAAGGCGACGAUCCUUAGCUGGUCUGAGAGGAUGAUCAGCCACACUGGGACUGAGACACGGCCCAGACUCCUACGGGAGGCAGCAGUGGGGAAUAUUGGACAAUGGGCGAAAGCCUGAUCCAGCAAUGCCGCGUGAGUGAUGAAGGCCCUAGGGUUGUAAAGCUCUUUUGCCAGGGAUGAUAAUGACAGUACCUGGAGAAUAAGCUCCGGCUAACUCCGUGCCAGCAGCCGC